UAGGGAAUCUUCGGCAAUGGACGAAAGUCUGACCGAGCAACGCCGCGUGAGUGAAGAAGGUUUUCGGUUCGUAAAACUCUGUUGUUAGAGAAGAACAAUGACGUUAGUAACUGACCCUCCCCUGACGGUAUCUAACCAGAAAGCCACGGCUAACUACGUGCCAGCAGCCGCGGUAAUACGUAGGUGGCAAGCGUUGUCCGGAUUUAUUCGACGUAAAGCGAGCGCAGGCGGUGUCUUAAGUCUGAUGUGAAAGCCCCCGGCUCAACCGGGGAGGGUCAUUGGAAAAUGGGAGUCUUGAGUGCAGAAGAGGAGAGUGGAAUUCCAUGUGUAGCGGUGAAGUGCGUCGAUAUAUGGAGGAACACCAGUAGCGAAGGCGGGUCUCAGUACUGAAACUGACGCUGAGGCUCGAAGGCGUGGGGAGCAAACAGG
rnacentral:rRNA from 1 species